rnacentral:tRNA from 1 species
UCUAAAAUGGCAGAUAGAUGUAUAGGGUUUAAGCCCCUACCAGGAAAAUUUUUUCUUUUAGAA